AUUGAACGCUGGCGGCAGGCUUAACACAUGCAAGUCGCGCGAGCGGCGGACGGGUGAGUAAUGUCUGGGAAACUGCCUGAUGGAUGGGGCUAACUACUGGAAACGGUAGCUAAUACCGCAUCCCAUCAGAUGUGCCCAGAUGGGCUUAGCUAGUAGGUGGGUUAAUGGCUCACCUAGGCGACGAUCCCUAGCUGGUCUGAGAGGAUGACCAGCCACACUGGAACUGCGACACGGGCCAGACGCCUACGGGAGGAAGCAGUGGGGAAGAUUGCACAAUGGGAGCAAUCCUGAUGCAGCCAGGCCGCGUGUGGGAAGAAGGCCUGCGGGUUGUAAAGCACUUUCAGCGAGGAGGCGUUACUCGUAGAAGAAGCACCGGCUAACUCAGUGCCAGCAGCCGCGGUAAUUC
rnacentral:rRNA from 1 species